rnacentral:rRNA from 1 species
AGUUCUUCGGAACUAGAGACCGGCGCACGGGUGCGUAACGCGUAUGCAAUCUACCUUUUACAGAGGGAUAGCCCAGAGAAAUUUGGAUUAAUACCUCAUAGUAUAUAGCCCUGGCAUCAGGAUUAUAUUAAAGUCACAACGGUAAAAGAUGAGCAUGCGUCCCAUUAGCUAGUUGGUAAGGUAACGGCUUACCAAGGCUACGAUGGGUAGGGGUCCUGAGAGGGAGAUCCCUCACACUGGUACUGAGACACGGACCAGACUCCUACGGGAGGCAGCAGUGAGGAAUAUUGGACAAUGGGCGCAAGCCUGAUCCAGCCAUGCCGCGUGCAGGAUGACGGUCCUAUGGAUUGUAAACUGCUUUUAUACGAGAAGAAACACUCCUUCGUGAAGGAGCUUGACGGUAUCGUAAGAAUAAGGAUCGGCUAACUCCGUGCCAGCAGCCGCGGUAAUACGGAGGAUCCAAGCGUUAUCCGGAAUCAUUGGGUUUAAAGGGUCCGUAGGCGGUUUAAUAAGUCAGUGGUGAAAGCCCAUCGCUCAACGGUGGAACGGCCAUUGAUACUGUUAGACUUGAAUUAUUAGGAAGUAACUAGAAUAUGUAGUGUAGCGGUGAAAUGCUUAGAGAUUACAUGGAAUACCAAUUGCGAAGGCAGGUUACUACUAAUUGAUUGACGCUGAUGGACGAAAGCGUGGGUAGCGAACAGGAUUAGAUACCCUGGUAGUCCACGCCGUAAACGAUGGAUACUAGCUGUUGGAAGCAUUUCAGUGGCUAAGCGAAAGUGAUAAGUAUCCCACCUGGGGAGUACGUU